rnacentral:lncRNA from 1 species
CGCAGAGCUCAGCCCAGCCCUGAGGGUCUCUCCACCAGGCAGAGGAGGAGGAAUGUGUGUCAUGCUGGAUGGAAAGGGAUUUUUUGGGACUCUGGUGAGACCUCCUGGAUGUGAUCCCAGGGAAGGGAUGACUCGGAGGUGGCUCCACAGGCAUUUCCCUGUGGAUCCCUCAUAGAAGGAAACUGUAAACAAUAAAUCCUGGAAAUUGUUCCACUCUCCCUGCACAUCCCAAAGGCAUCUGGAAAGGCGCCCAGCCCGGGGGAGGACGGUGCAGGCCAUGACACGCUCUGCAGGGACAGGGAUUUGGUGGAAGUGACGCAGAGUUUGGCCCAGCCUGGCCGGAUUCGUGUCACUCCAGGAGUGGCCUUGAUCCCUGUCCUGCCAGAGCCCAGCCUGGAGCUGUGCUGCCUCAGGUCCUCCUCAUGCUGCUCUUCCCAGGGCAGGGGGCUCCCAGAGGAAGGGAUUAUUCAUUUCCAGGAAUGUUUGAAGCAGAGGGAGCUCCUGGACUGCUGCGUCACUGGGGCUGGAGCCGCUGGAGCUGUUUCCAUGAGCGCAGAUUCGGUGAGACACAUGGCGAGUUUUUUAAAGACAAUACUGGAGCCGCCAGAGGAGGAGGCAUUUGACCACUUGGCAUGGAUGAAGAAGACUUGUAUCAACAUCUCCGGGGGCCUGAGCUCAGCUGCUGCUCUGGCAGAAGCUCUGGAGAACCCGGGGCUGGGGGAUCUGUGCUGGGGGAAAACAAAAGAGAAAGGAGGGAUUGCAGCUGAAGCACUGCAGAAGGUCACUGAAUGAAACAAUAAACGUGACAAGCCCAGGAUAAUCCAUGUGCAGGCCAGGCUCGUGUGCCCCGGCCCUGCCCGGGUUAUAUUUGGUGGUGGGUCUGGGCAGGGUUUCCUUUUCUGCCCUGAUGUUUGCUGGGCAGGAAUGAGGGACUGGGAGCCCAUCCUGGGUUUCCUGGGGACGGGCAGGGGGAGGCUCCCUCGCCAGGGAAGGGGAAUGGUACAAACAGAGACGGGGCUGGUCGGACACUGAAUGUUCCUGUCUCACAUUUCUGGCGUGGCCGGGAGGUGUCACAGCCCUGCAGCAUCUUCCUGCUAAAAACAGCCCUGGUGUCCCAGCCCUGUCCCAGCCCUGCCACGGUGCCCAGGACAGUCCGUGUCCAAAGGCCCCUCCCGGAAUGUGGGGCGGGUCCGGGCUGUGUGCUGGGCUGUGAGGGGACCUGGGGGUGACGUGACCUUCUCCAUCCUCUCCUGCUCCAGGAACAGCCUGCCCAGGCCUGUGUCCCCAUCCCUGGGAUUUAUAAGCUGUGCAUGUGACACUUGGGGACAGCAUGUAGGGUGGCAGUGCUGAGGGAAUGGCCGACUCGGUGAUCUUGGAGGGCUUUUCCAGCUUAAUGCCAUGAGUCUUUGAUUUGGAAGGGCCAGGCUGCUCAGGCAGGGCUGGGUUUGAAAGGUUGAGUGCAGCAAGGCCAAAAGCCUGGAGCUGCCUGGGGCAGGGAACGCUGUGCUGGAGCGAUGCUGCUGGCUCGCAGCUCGGGAGAUGUUUGGGCAGUGACAUCUCCCCUGGGCUGCAGCUGGAGGGGGGCUCAGCCCAGCAGGGGCCACUCUGGGAACGUGUGAGACUGGGGGAUGCAGGAGCAGCGAGCCCUGUGCCCGGAAUGUCCUGCCUGGUGUCACUUGUCCUGUCACUUCUCCUCUCAGCCCACGUGCUGAUGGGGCUGGCUGAGAAUGUUUCCCUGUGCUAAGGGGAACUUCAUGGCAGAAUGAAAACAAACACUGCAAGUUUUCCAUUUGGAGGGAUUGUUUGCACUGAAAAGUGAGAUUUUCUGUUCUCUUGCCUGAACACGUUUUUGAUGCAAAGUAGAUGUUUUCCAGUUUUUCAUCUUGUCAAAAAGUCAGCAGCUCUCAAAAGCAGAUUUAUUCCAGCAAAAUACUUUCAGGCUGGAGCUUUUUCUUCCCAUCUCCUUUUCAGCCAGUUUAACUCAUUUUAGCUGUUGGGGUUGGAUGUCUCCUCAUCCGAGUGCCUUCACACAGAAAUUCUUUUCCCAUAUUAGAGAGCAGGAUUUUAGUGCAAGCAAGAAAAACCAUCAACCAGAAGAGUCCCCAUUUUGUUAUUAAAAGCCUGCUGGGCACUGCCCAGGGUCCCAGGGAAUGGGCACGGCCCCAAGGCUGCCAGAGCUCCAGGACCCUUUGAACAGUGCUCCAGGGUGCCCAGGGUGGGAUUUUGGGGGUCUGGGCAGGGCCAGGGGCUGGGCUGGCGAACCUGAGGGUCCCUCCCAGCUCGGCCGGUCCCUGGCUGUGGUUUGCAG